UAAGUCAGCCACGAAUAGGCUAUCCCAACUAACGGCGGGAAAGACUCCACGGAGGGUGUAAGACCCGUGUGGGCGCGUGUUAAAGCUGUGUGGGCUCGGCCUCCAUUCCCUGAGAGUCGCGUUGCUUGAGCAUGCAGCGCUAAGCAGGUCGUAAACUCGAUCUAAGGCUAAAUAUUUCCACAGAACCGAUAGCGAACAAGUACCGUGAGGGAAAGUUGAAAAGCACUCUGGAGAGAGAGUCAAAAGACCGUGAAACCGCUCAGAGUAUAAGCCCAUGGCAGCUUGGAAGGCAUAUCGCUAGCGGGGCAUCGGUCUCCCUUCGCGGGGAGCUGGUGUUACCUUGCUUCUGUUGUGGCUCGUCAUGGUAGGGGGGUCAGGUCCACAUCCCGCCGUCGUGUGGAGAGUUCUUGGGUGUGUUGUGGUUUCUCGGUUGGCUUCGGCUUUCCGGGGGGCUCUUCGUACUUGGUUCUCUUUUAGACACGGACGUUCAGACUCAGUUGUAAGACGCGAUAACCAGCCCACCACGGCACGUUGUGAGGUCACCCACAGGCUCGACUUUCGAUCGUGAGCCUUGACGCCGAGCAAGCACUAUGCGUGUCGCAGAGGUUCCUAACCAGGCAAUGUUGCCAGGAUCGUGGAACGACACGCGCUCAAGAGUCAGGUUCGGGCGGAGACAGAGUUCUGGUAUGAUCCUCUUGCGACGAGCCGGCUUCUGGCCGACAUCCGAUGCUCAGGUCUCCCGCAUGUGCCGCGGGAGAUCGCUUUGACGGUCUGGA
rnacentral:rRNA from 1 species